AUACUCGCCGUUUCCUCUCUCAUCAAUAUUUACACGAUUAGCUCUACCUUAAUUGUGUAUCCCCACAAAUAUAUAGGAUUUUUGGAAGAAACUUCAUUUAUAGAUUUUAAUGGAUGGAGGAAAAACUCCAAUCAGGGUUACUCGAGGGUGUUGCAACCAUGUGAUCUGGUGAGAUGCCAGAUAUAGGAGUGACCUAUGGCAAUGAGAGCGUAGGAUACACUAAAGGCUUCAACUGAAGAGAUUCAAGAUGGAGGUGAUAUCUCCGCAGAACAUAGGCAAUCAGAGAAGGUCGGAGUUCAGCACCCUGCUGAUACAACUAUCAAUGUGCCUGAUGUUGUAUAUGAGGCUACAACUGGCAUACAAAAGGAUGAAGAUGUCAACUCCAUAGAGGGAAUGGUAGCAAAGGUUCUAUCAGAGAUACCUCUCGCAGUAGAGUUUCCACAAGAUGUUG